rnacentral:rRNA from 1 species
UACGUAGGGUGCGAGCGUUGUCCGGAAUUACUGGGCGUAAAGAGCUCGUAGGCGGUUUGUCGCGUCUGCUGUGAAAACCUAAGGCUCAACCUUGGGCUUGCAGUGGGUACGGGCAGACUAGAGUGCGGUAGGGGUGACUGGAAUUCCUGGUGUAGCGGUGGAAUGCGCAGAUAUCAGGAGGAACACCGAUGGCGAAGGCAGGUCACUGGGCCGCAACUGACGCUGAGGAGCGAAAGCAUGGGGGAGCGAACAGG